rnacentral:rRNA from 1 species
GAUGAACGCUGGCGGCGUGCCUAAUACAUGCAAGUCGAGCGAACAGAUGAGGAGCUUGCUCCUCUGACGUUAGCGGCGGACGGGUGAGUAACACGUGGAUAACCUACCUAUAAGACUGGGAUAACUUCGGGAAACCGGAGCUAAUACCGGAUAAGAUAUUGAACCGCAUGGUUCAAUAGUGAAAGACGGUGUUGCUGUCACUUCUAGAGGGAUCCGAGCCGCAUUAGCUGGUUGGUAAGGUAACGGCUUACCAAGGCAACGAUGCGUAGACGACCUGAGAGGCUGGUCGGCCACCCGGGAGCUGAAACACGGUCAUGACUCCUACGGGACGCAGCAGUAGGGAACCUUCCGCAAUAGGCGAAAGCCUGACGGAACAACGCCGCGUCAGUGACGACGGUCCUCCGAUCGUAAAAAUCGCUUAUUAGUGAAAAACAAAUGUGUAAGUAACUAUGCCCGGAUUGACGGUACCUAGUCAGAAAGCCACGGCUAACUACGUG